ensembl:lncRNA
GUAAAGUUGAGUGCAGGUGGAUGUUUUAGUGAAAACGAAGUCUGAGACACAAGCUGCUGAUGUAGGUGUGACACCAAGAUGGAUGAUGCAGACAAGAUCGUGAAUAAAAUCUUCUCAUGGAUGGAUCUACAAAAGGACAGUGUAGACAAGUUGAACGAGCUAGCCAGUGAAUUGGAGGAACAGCAGAAGACUAUUAAUGUCACUAAAGUUGUCGGGAGCUCAGUGUCUGUGGGUGGUGCAGCUGCCAUGACAGUAGCAGGUGUAGUAAGUGUUUUAACAGGAGGACUGUCGAUACCUUUGUUAGCUGGAACAGGAGCAGUGGCAUCAGGUCUUGGUUUGGCUACUAGUGUGGGUUCUGAUGUUGUUGGUGCUGUCUUAUCAAGUAGGACUAUGAAAGAGGCCCAAAAUAUUUCAAAAAGCCUUGAUGAUCUUACAGCAGAAAUCACAGCACUCAUGGAGUCCCUCUUAACAAAAGCAACAGGCAGACAGCAACGGGGUAAAAAUGUUUCUCCAGAAGAAUAUGUGAAGGAGGCGAUCUUGAGAGCAAUGGCCAAACGCAAGGGUUUGAUAUUAAAGGAGAAGGACAGUUUAAUCAAGCUGUUAUCUCAGCUGCCUCUUGAGAAGAUCUUUAAGAACGACGCAGAAUCAGACCUCCUCAAAAAGUCAACAACGGAGGUGCCACUGCUUUCAGACUUUGUUACAGGGUUGGUCUCAGAAAAACUCAUGAAAAAUAAGGUCAGCAAAGCCAAUUCCCUGGGUUUAAAGGCAUCGACUACAGCAGUUGGAAAAAUUGGCAGAGGGGCAGUAGGACUUCUGUUUUCGGUUCCUGAGCUCAUCGAAAACUGUAAAAAUCUGAACAACCAUGAGACAGACGCCAGUCGGUACCUGAGAGUGAAGGCUGGAGCAAUACAAGAAGCUUACGAAGCCAUGAAAUCAGAGCUGGAUGAAAUUGAGGCAACGUGUGCGAGGUUAGCUGACACGAAGUGGAAGAAGUACAGAAAGAGAAGCUGUUUGUGUUCAUGUGCUUCUUCAUCACCAUGAUAUAACCAAAGAGGGAUCACUGAAUCAUUACUCAUCAUGUCUUUAUCCUGUCUUCCUUAACCGGUCGCAGCAGAUGGCCGCCCCUCCCUGAGCCUGGUUCUGCCGGAGGUUUCUUCCUGUUAAAAGGGAGUUUUUCCUUCCCACUGUCGCCAAAGUGCUUGCUCAUAGGGGGUCAUAUGAUUGUUGGGUUUUUCUCUGUAUCUAUGAAGCGCCUUGAGGCGACUUUUGUUGUGAUUUGGCGCUAUAUAAAUAAAAUUGAAUUGAUUUGAUUUGAAAGAUUGGAUAUUCCACCUGCUAAGAAUGUUUUAAUGCAGUACAGUUGUUAUUAUCAUCGGUUGUCACCUCCUGCUUAUGACAGUUAAAAUAAAU